rnacentral:rRNA from 1 species
AGAGUUUGAUCAUGGCUCAGAUUGAACGCUGGCGGCAUGCCUAACACAUGCAAGUCGAACGGCAGCACAGGUAGCAAUACCGGGUGGCGAGUGGCGGACGGGUGAGUAAUGCAUCGGGAUCUACCCUGACGUGGGGGAUAACCUCGGGAAACCGGGACUAAUACCGCAUACGUCCUACGGGAGAAAGCGGGGGACCUUCGGGCCUCGCGCGGCAGGACGAACCGAUGUGCGAUUAGCUAGUUGGCGGGGUAAUGGCCCACCAAGGCGACGAUCGCUAGCUGGUCUGAGAGGAUGAUCAGCCACACUGGGACUGAGACACGGCCCAGACUCCUACGGGAGGCAGCAGUGGGGAAUAUUGGACAAUGGGCGCAAGCCUGAUCCAGCAAUGCCGCGUGUGUGAAGAAGGCCUUCGGGUUGUAAAGCACUUUUAUCAGGAGCGAAAUACUACCGGCCAAUACCCGGUGGGGCUGACGGUACCUGAGGAAUAAGCACCGGCUAACUUCGUGCCAGCAGCCGCGGUAAUACGAAGGGUGCAAGCGUUAAUCGGAAUUACUGGGCGUAAAGGGUGCGUAGGCGGUUCGUUAAGUCUGUUGUGAAAUCCCCGGGCUCAACCUGAGAAUGGCAAUGGAUACUGGCGGGCUAGAGUGUGUCAGAGGAUGGUGGAAUUCCCGGUGUAGCGGUGAAAUGCGUAGAGAUCGGGAGGAACAUCAGUGGCGAAGGCGGCCAUCUGGGACAACACUGACGCUGAAGCACGAAAGCGUGGGGAGCAAACAGGAUUAGAUACCCUGAUAGUCCACGCCCUAAACGAUGCGAACUGGAUGUUGGUCUCAACUCGGAGAUCAGUGUCGAAGCAAACGCGUUAAGUUCGCCGCCUGGGGAGUACGGUCGCAAGACUGAAACUCAAAGGAAUUGACGG